GGAAACAGAUGCUAAUACCGGAUAAAAGCUACUUUCGCAUGAAAGAAGUUUAAAAGGCGGCGUAAGCUGUCGCUAAAGGAUGGACCUGCGAUGCAUUAGCUAGUUGGUAAGGUAACGGCUUACCAAGGCGAUGAUGCAUAGCCGAGUUGAGAGACUGAUCGGCCACAUUGGGACUGAGACACGGCCCAAACUCCUACGGGAGGCAGCAGUG
rnacentral:rRNA from 1 species